rnacentral:rRNA from 1 species
GGGGCACCACCGGCGGACGGCUCAGUAACACGUCGGUAACCUACCCUCGGGAGGGGGAUAACCCCGGGAAACUGGGGCUAAUUCCCCAUAGGCCUGAGGUACUGGAAGGUCCUCAGGCCGAAAGGGACUUAUGUCCGCCCGAGGAUGGGCCGGCGGCCGAUUAGGUAGUUGGUGGGGUAAUGGCCCACCAAGCCGAAGAUCGGUACGGGCUGUGAGAGCAGGAGCCCGGAGAUGGACACUGAGACACGGGUCCAGGCCCUACGGGGCGCAGCAGGCGCGAAACCUCCGCAAUGCGGGAAACCGCGACGGGGGGACCCCGAGUGCCGUGGCAACGCCACGGCUUUUCCGGAGUGUAAAAAGCUCCGGGAAUAAGGGCUGGGCAAGGCCGGUGGCAGCCGCCGCGGUAAUACCGGCGGCCCGAGUGGUGGCCGCUAUUAUUGGGCCUAAAGCGUCCGUAGCCGGGCCCGUAAGUCCCUGGCGAAAUCCCACGGCUCAACCGUGGGGCUUGCUGGGGAUACUGCGGGUCUUGGGACCGGGAGAGGCGGGGGGUACCCCUGGGGUAGGGGUGAAAUCCUAUAAUCCCAGGGGGACCGCCAGUGGCGAAGGCGCCCCGCUGGAACGGGUCCGACGGUGAGGGACGAAGGCCAGGGGAGCAAACCGGAUUAGAUACCCGGGUAGUCCUGGCUGUAAAGGAUGCGGGCUAGGUGUCGGGUGAGCCUCGAGCUCGCCCGGUGCCGUAGGGAAGCCGUUAAGCCC